AACGUACGCUGGCGGCACGCCUAACACAUGCAAGUCGAACGAAGUAGCAAUACUUAGUGGCAGACGGGUGAGUAACAUGUGGGUAUCUGCCCUUUGGCCUGGAAUAACACGAGGAAACUUGUGCUAAUACCGGAUAAGUCUUUACGGAGAAAGCUUUAUGCACCAUUGGAUGAGCCCGCACUUGAUUAGUUUGUUGGUGGGGUAAUGGCCUACCAAGACUGUGAUCAAUAGCUGAUUUGAGAGGAUGAUCAGCCACAUUGGGACUGAGACACGGCCCAAACUCCUACGGGAGGCAGCAGUGGGGAAUCUUGCACAAUGGAGGAAACUCUGAUGCAGCGAUGCCGCGUGAGUGAAGAAGGCCCUUGGGUUGUAAAGCUCUUUCGUCGGGGAAGAAAAUGACUGUACCCGAAUAAGAAGGUCCGGCUAACUUCGUGCCAGCAGCCGCGGUAAUACGAAGGGACCUAGCGUAGUUCGGAAUUACUGGGCUUAAAGAGUUCGUAGGUGGUUGAAAAAGUUAGUGGUGAAAUCCCAGAGCUUAACUCUGGAACUGCCAUUAAAACUUUUCAGCUAGAGUAUGAUAGAGGAAAGCAGAAUUUCUAGUGUAGAGGUGAAAUUCGUAGAUAUUAGAAAGAAUACCAAUUGCGAAGGCAGCUUUCUGGAUCAUUACUGACACUGAGGAACGAAAGCAUGGGUAGCGAAGAGGAUUAGAUACCCUCGUAGUCCAUGCCGUAAACGAUGUGUGUUAGACGUUGGAAAUUAUUUUCAGUGUCGCAGCGAAAGCGAUAAACACACCGCCUGGGGAGUACGACCGCAAGGUUAAAACUCAAAUGAAUUGACGGGGACCCGCACAAGUAGUGGAGCAUGUGGUUUAAUUCGAAGAUACGCGCAGAACCUUACCAACACUUGACAUGUUCGUCGCGACUCUAAGAGAUUAGAGUUUUCGGUUCGGCCGGACGAAACACAGGUGCUGCAUGGCUGUCGUCAGCUCGUGUCGUGAGAUGUUGGGUUAAGUCCCGCAACGAGCGCAACCCUCACUUUUAGUUGCCAUCAUUAAGUUGGGCACUCUGAAAGAACUGCCAGUGAUAAGCUGGAGGAAGGUGGGGAUGACGUCAAGUCCUCAUGGCCCUUACGUGUUGGGCUACACACGUGCUACAAUGGUAUCUACAACAGGAAGCAAGACUGCGAGGUCAAGCAAAUCCUUAAAAGAUACCUCAGUUCGGAUUGCACUCUGCAACUCGAGUGCAUGAAGCUGGAAUUACUAGUAAUCGUGGAUCAGCGUGCCACGGUGAAUGCGUUUCCCGGGUCU
rnacentral:rRNA from 1 species